rnacentral:rRNA from 1 species
UGGGGGAAUUUUUGGGACAAUGGGGGAAACCCUGAUCCAGCCAUCCCGCGUGUGCGAUGAAGGCCUUCGGGUUGUAAAGCACUUUUUGGCAGGAAAGAAACGUCGCGGGUUAAAUACCCCCGCGAAACUGACGGUACCUGCAGAAUAAGCACCGGCUAACUACGUGCCAGCAGCCGCGGUAAUACGUAGGGUGCAAGCGUUAAUCGGAAUUACUGGGCGUAAAGCGUGCGCAGGCGGUUCGGAAAGAAAGAUGUGAAAUCCCAGAGCUUAACUUUGGAACUGCAUUUUUAACUACCGGGCUAGAGUGUGUCAGAGGGAGGUGGAAUUCCGCGUGUAGCAGUGAAAUGCGUAGAUAUGCGGAGGAACACCGAUGGCGAAGGCAGCCUCCUGGGAUAACACUGACGCUCAUGCACGAAAAGCGUGGGGAGCAAAACAGGAUUAGAUACCCUGGUAGUCCACGCCCUAAAACGAUGUCAAACUAGCUGUUUGGGGGCCUUCGGGCCUUGG